rnacentral:lncRNA from 1 species
GGAGAGGUGGUUGCUGGGAGAGCUGUUCCGGCGCUCACGUUCCAAUUCCAAAUUACAAAUUCCGAUCUAGAGCUCCCACGCUUGGGGGCUGUGGAGCGCUCGCCAGCCGCUCCCCGUUUGCUGCUGGGUCUUACGAAGUUCUCAUAUCCAUCAUACAGUUUCUUUGUCACACUGUCCGCGGCACGCCAGUCCCUAUGACAGAAAGCACCUGCGGUCUGUCUGGAGGCGGAGUUGGUGGCGGAGAGAAAAAGUUCUGGAGACACCUGGUUGGGAGCAGGCUAAGGAAACAAAUGGGGAGGAAUUAGCCACAAAUCCUCAAAUAGACAGCUACUCAAAGGCAUCUUCACGGACAAUUUCCAAGCAUUGGAUGCAGUGGUGCAUUCUUGCAUUGGGCAGUGAUUGUGUGCACACAUCUCUUUAAGGGAGAGUGGAAAUGGGGUGAGGAGGAAAAUGGGAGUAGGAUAGAGUGUAGCGUUGACAUUUAUUUUCUUUAAAGGAAGACCCGAGCAUACCUGAGAGCUCAGUGAAGAAAGUAGUUCUGGCGAAUCGGAUUAAUAUGCACCACUGAAACUUGACCUUCGGCCGGCGCGGUGGCUCACGCCUGUAAUCCCAGCACUUUGGGAGGCCGAGAUGGGCGGAUCACGAGGUCAGAAGAUCGAGACCAUCCUGGCUAACACGGUGAAACCCCGUCUCUACUAAAAAUACAAAAAAAUUAGCCGAGCGUGGUGGCGGGCUCCUGUAGUCCCAGCUACUUGGGAGGCUGAGGCAGGAGAAUGGCGUGAACCCGGGAGGCGGAGCUUGCGGUAAGCCGAGAUCGCGCCACUGCACUCCAGCCUGGGCGACUGAGCACGACUCCGUCUCAAAAAAAAAAAAAAAAAAACAAAAAAAAAACUUGACCUUCAUUAUAUCUCACUGCCCUCAUCCCAAACAUUUCCUCUCCCAGUUUUCCAGGAAACGGCAUCGCUGCCCAUCUCUUUUCAGGCCCCAACCCUGGAGAAGAACCUAAAUUUCUCAUUUCCUCACUACCUACCUCCAGUCCUUCAGCAGGUCCCGUUGGUUGGGCUGCUAAACUAUGGGCUAAAUCCUUUCAGUACUUUCCAUGCCCACAGCUACCACUCUGGUCCAAGCCAAAUUCUUAGUUCCCCUGGACUUCUUACUGCAGUAGCCUCUCAGCUUCCACUCUUGGCAAAAUCAAUUUUAUAAAACCUUGAAAUCCCUUAAUACCACUCGUCUGCUUAAACCUCGGCAUCCCACAUUUACCACUAUCAGGAAGGAUCACGUUUGUUUGUUUGCUGUCUCAUUCCCCCAUUUAUAUGUGAAUUCCACGGGUAAGGGCCUGCUCCUACAUCCCACACCUCUACAUCCACAGAGCCUAGAGACCGCAGGCGCGGGGAAAGCACUCCACGACCAUCACUGGCCAGGCCACAAGAGUGCUGGAUCUAAAUUUGGAACCGGACUUUCAGAGCUGAAAUAAACCUGAGGUUUUCCAGGGGCUUUUAACCUCCUUUUACAGCCAAGGAUGCGCCUAAGAAAGGGGAGAGGCUUCCGUGACUUCCUGCAGUAACGCAGCCACUAGAGAUUGAGACUACAACGACUUGGGAGUCUAAAAGUCUGCAACCUUUUCCACUCCAGAGCUCAAUGUUUCCUCAAUCCCCCGGGAUCGGCAUCAGCAAAAACCCGGAGAAGCGGAGCCUUUCUCAAAGAAAAUGACCUCCAGACUCAUGCUACCAUCUCGACCGGUGCAAGUAUCACGCAUGCGCAGGGCCGGCCGCCCGGCCGCACCUCGCCAACUCCUACUCGGACACGUCAUCUAGGUCGGCCUGGGUCUGGUGGGAGGGGCCGGGGGCGGGGCUCGUACGCGGGGCGAAGUGGUCCCCCUACUUCCGGAUCCGGCCUCACCUGGCCAACGCCUCAUUCGGGGUUCCUUGGUUACGUGGCUGCGGUGUCUACCCGGUGCUGGGGCGUGGCGGAGAGAGACCGCCCCGCCCUCCACGCAGGCCACAAAAUGGAGGCCCUGCCCUGUGGGCUUUUGUGGCCUGGGCGCUGUCGUGCCGAAAGACGAAAGUGACAAUUCCAGUUGCAAACUGGAAAGAAAUGGAGUUUUUCCUUCAUUCUCCCCAUGAUCGUGACGGUCCUUUUCUCAAAGUACUAAUACUUUUAAUGGGACUGUAAAACUUGAGGGAUAUGACUCUCUCCUCUCCUCUGCUUCAGAUUGCAUUUGCCAACUCUGAUUUACCGCCAAUACUAUGGUGCUGUCAUAUUCAUAGAGACAGAAAGUAGAGCAGUGGUUGUAGAGAGAGUCUGCAGAAGGAGGGAUGGGGAUUUACUGUUUAAUGGCAUACGGUUUCAGUAUGGGUUGGUGAAAAAGUUGGGAUGAAUGGUGAUGACUGCACAACAAUGCAAAUAUGCUAAUGUCACAGAAGUGUACACUUAAAAAUGGUUAGACGGUAAGUUUUCUAUUAUGUAUAUUUUACCACAAUUUUUUUUUAAAUGCAACAGAGUCUCGCUGUUGCCUAGGCUGGAGUGCAGUGGCAGGAUCUCAGCUCACUGCAACCUCCGCCUUCCAGGUUCAAGCGAUUCUUGUGCCUCAGCCUCCCAAGUAACUGGGAUUACAGGUGCCAGCCACCACGCCCAGCUAAUUUUUGUAUGUUUAGUAGAGAUGGGGUUUCACCAUGUUGGCCAGGCUAGGCUGUUCUCGAACUCCUGAACUCAGGUGAUCCGCCUGCCUUGGUCUCCCCCAGUGCCGAGAUUACACGCGUGAGCCACCACGCCGGGCCCCACAGUUUUUUGUUUUUGUCUUUUAAAUUUUUUUUAACAGCAUUUGUGUCUUUUUUUCUUUUUCUUUUGUUUUUGAAACAGAAUCUCACUCUGUCACCAAGCUGGAGUGCAGUGGCGCCAUCUUGGCUCACUGCAACCUCUGACUCCCUGGUUCAAGCAAUUCUCCUGCCUCAGCCUCUCCAGUAGCUGGGGUUACAGGCACGCACCACCCCGCCCAGCUAAUUUUUGUAUUUUUAGUAGAGAUGGGGUUUCACCAUAUUGGCCAGGGUGGUCUCCAUCUCCUGACCCCGUGAUCCACCUUGCCUUCCCAAAGUGCUGGGAUUACAGGUGUGAGCCACUGCACCCAACCUAAAUGGCAUUUGUUUCUUCCACUCCUCUCUGCCAGAAUAAUUUGGACAGCCUUUUCUGAGUUUCCCAUGACGACUUCUGUAUAAGAUUGUCGGAUAUAGCAAAUAAAAGUACAGUAUACCCAGGUAAAUUUUAAUUUCAGAUGAUCAAUGAAUAAUUUUUUAGUAUAAGUACAUUCCAACUAUUACAUGGGACAUAAGGGUAUUUUAUCUGAUCACCCUACUUUUGUGUCAAGUUAAAAUUAUUAGCAAAAGUGCUUCCGUUUUUAGGAAGUGCACACUGUACUCUAGUAGUUAGGCAGGAGAACAGGGUCUGCGAGCAGGGAACCUAAGGCCGUUUCACACUGACUUCCUAGAGCCAUUUGGAAAGGAAAACCCUAACUUUCCACUCCUAAGUAACAAAAGGCCCAGAGGCCACUCCCUUUGCAAACCCCCACCUUUUCUGUGCCGCAGCUGGAAAAUUGAAAGUGCCUCUGAUUGGUUGCUUUCUGCAACUAAUCAGAUGUUUGCAUAGAGUGUAACUUUGUAACUUCACUUCAGCCUCUGAUUGGUUGCUGUCCCCAACCAAUCAGACUGAUUGUGGGCCAAGGCUUCGUUUGAAUAGAAGUGCAACUUUGUAACUUCACUUUAGCCUCUGAUUGCAGGCCACCACUUCAUUUACAUGGGGUGAGCACCAAGUAAGUGGCCAAUGGGAAACAUCUAGAGGGUAUUUGGACCCGAGAAGAUUCUGUAUCUGGGGCCCUUGAGCUGCUGCUCAGCCUGCUCCCACACUGUGAAGUGUACUUUCACUUUCAAUAAAUCUCUGCUUUCCUUGCUUCAUUCUUUCCUAGCUUUACUGUGCGUUUUGUCCAAUUAUUUGUUCAAAACGCCAAGAACCUGGACAACUUGCUGUCCGCAACCAAUCAGACUGAUUGUGGGCUGAAUCUUCAUUUGCAUGGAAGUGCAACUUUGUAACUUCACUUUAGCCUCUGAUUGCGGGCCACCACUUCAUUUACAUGAGGCAAACACCAAUGCGUUUUGUUCAAUUCUUUGUUCAAAACCCCAAGAAUCUGGACAACUUGCACUCAAGACCCUCUACGGGUUUGGCGAGCCAGGUAGGAGGAAGCCCAAAGUAUGGGAUUUAUUUUUCUCCUUUCUUCUUUUCCUCUCUGCUACAUACAGGGGAAUCUUUCUCUCUUUCUUUUCCUUUCCAACUCGGGACUCUUGGUGAACAGUGCCUAAGCAUAGUGACAACUGCAAGUUUCUGGCCAGAGCCUCUCUCUGGUGAAACUGAAAGGCUUCCAUGUGGAAGCGUCUGAGUAACACCACUGGGUUUGGGUGAGGGACCUGAGUCCUUUUCCUUGUUUUUGUUUUUCUGAGUCCUAUUCCUUUUUUCCUUUUUCUGAGUUAUUUCCCUUUUUUUCUUUUCCAGUCUUUCAGUGGCUGUUUUCUAGUAGCUCCUUGGCAAUUGAGGGGAACUGGCUGGGACCACUCUCCAGUGCUGUCUGAAGGCCAAGGAGUGAACAGGGAUGGCUGCCCUGCCUUGAAGAGGGAAGGACUCUUUUCUAUCCUUUCCAGCUAUAGUCCCUGAUCCCUACAUGUGAUGCGGUUGGCAGCGGAAGCUCAUCCUGGGCGAACUCACACACUUUUCAGGAGACUUAAACCUUUUCUUAUGCUAAGUUCUUCCCUUCCCCUACUCAUCUGGCUAAAGGACAGACUAUGCAAAAAAGGUUAUACAAGUCAGAGGGUCUGAGCAUGUCGGAGGUGGUCUGUGUGGGGCAUGGGGUGGGGGGAAAAUUCAUGAAAGGCAAUUUAUUGCCUAAAUUUAAAGGGUUAAAGGGUUGCUUUAAGUGGGAUAGAAAAACCUUAAGGAAAGUUCAUAGUAGGUCCUCAGUGGUGGAGUGUUGUGGGAAGUCAGGGACCCUGAAUGAAGGGACUGGCUGAAGCCAUGGCAGAAGAACAUAAACUGUGAAGAUUUCAUGGACAUUUAUUAGUUCCCCAAAUUAACACUUUUAUAAUUUCUUACGCCUGUCUUUACUGCAAUCUCUGAACAUAAAUUGUGAAGAUUUUAUGGACAUUUAUCACUUCCCCAAUCAAUACUCUUGUGAUUUCCUAUGCCUGUCUUUACUUUAAUCUCUUAAUCCCGUCAUCUUCGUAAGCUGAGGAGGAUGUAAGUCGCCUCAGGACCCUGUGAUGAUUGUGUUAACUGCACAAAUUGUUUGUAGAGCAUGUGUGUUUGAACAGUAUCAAAUCUGGGCACCUUAAGAACAGGAUAACAGCAACGUUCAAGGAACAAGGGAGAUAAUCUUAACGUCUGGCUGCCUAUGGGCCGGGCAGAACAGAGCCAUAUUUCUCUUCUUUCUAAAGCAAAUAGGAGAAAUAUCGCUGAAUUCUUUUUCUCAGCAAGGAACAGCCCUGAGACAGAGAAUGUGUGCCUAGGGGUAGUCCUCCAAAAUGGCCACUCUGGGGACGGCUGUCUUUUAUGGUCGUAGAUAAGGGAAGAAAUAAGCCCCGGACUCCCAUAGUGCUCCCAGGCUUAUUAGGACGAGGAAAUUCCCACCUAAUAAAUUUUGGUCAGACUGGUUGUCUGCUCUCAAACCCUGUCUCCUGAUAAGAUGUUAUCAAUGACAAUGCGUGCCCGAAACUUCACUCGCAAUUUUAAUUUCGCCCUGGUCAUGUGGUCCCGUGAUCUCACCCUGCCUCCAUUUGCCUUGUGAUAUUUUAUUACCUUGUGAAGCAUGUGAUCUCUGUGACCCACACCCUAUUCAUACACUCCCUCCCCUUUUGGAAAUCACUAAUAAAAACUUGCUGGUUUUACGGCUUAGGGGGCAUCACAGAACCUGCCGACAUAUGAUGUCUCCCCUGGACACCCAGCUUUAAAAUUUCUCUCUUUGUACUCUUUCCCUUUAUUUCUCAGACCAGCCAACACUUAGGGAAAAUAGAAAAGGACCCACGUGAAAUAUCAGGGGCUGAAUUUCCCCCGAUAGUGGAGGGAACCAUCCCAAAGCAGUGCCAGCCCCCAUCUAAGGUCAGAGACAUCUGACAGACUAAAUCAGGGCCCUAAAGUAGGGACGCCCCUGGGGACCCCAGUCUGGGUUCAGAAUUUUUUCAGGGGGAUGCCCUGGGUAAAGUUUGGGUCACCUAAUGGGCCCUCUACUUUUCAAAGUCCUCUUCUCUGUUCCAGACCACUAUGGGCAACUCUCUAUCUAUUCGACCUGAUUCCACUAUGGGCAAUUCUACACCUGUUCCACCGGAUUCCUCACUUGGCUACAUCAUCCACCAUUGGAAUCAAUUUGACCCUGACACUCUAAAGGGAAAAUGUAUAAUUUUUUUCUGUAAUACUGUUUGGCCCCAUUAUGAGCUGCCCAGCCCCCAGCAAUGGGCAGUCAGUGGUAGCCUUAAUUAUGACACCAUCCUGCAAUUAGACCUACUUUGCAAGAGGCUGGGAAGAUGGUCAGAAGUCCCAUAUGUACAGGCUUUUAUCAAAAUAUCAAAAACCUAACAAUCUGUGAAACUCCCAGAACCCACCCCCCAAAGGAAAGUACUAAGGCAGAACUAGAUAUUAUAGAUGACCCUCUUUUACAAGGGCUAGCUGUCUCUCAGGGUGAACAGCAACCAUCCCCAUAAAGCCCCUUGCCAAGUGCUCCUGAGGCUAAAACCCAGGAGCAAACACCAGGGACCCUACUAAAUCCCCCUCACACUUGGAGAGGAAUGCCAUAUUCAAUUCUCUCUCCAGCCCUGCUACCUCUUAGGGAAGUAGCAGGAACCAAGGGGCCAGUCCUAGUGCAGGCCCCCUUCUCUAUAAUUUAUACAUACAAUAUAAGGAAAAGCUAGGAAACUAUUCUGAGAAUCCUAAGAAACUUGCAGAUGGGUUCCAGCGUUUGACCUUAGCCUCUGAUCUAUCAUGGAGAGAUGUUCAAUUCAUUCUAGCAACCUGUUACACACCCUCAGAAAAGGAAUGAAUCUCUGAGGCCGCCCACCUGCAAGCAAUGAAUUAUUUGCCCAAAACUCUCAGGGCAAUCAUCCCGGCCCAGACACAGUUCCCACUAUUGAUCAUAAUUGGGACUAUAACACUCCUGAGGAAAUGAACAACCGGGCUAAAUUUCUUGAGGCUCUCCUUGGAGGAAUGAGAAAGGGAAUAACUAAAGGCAGUAAAUUAUGAUAAAGUAAGGGAGGUUACACAAGGCAAGGAGGAAAAUCCAGCCAUGUUUUAUGGCAGGCUGGAGGGAGACUUUAAAAAAUAUACUAAUCUGGACCCUUCCUCUCCCGAAGGCAAAAUAUUAAUAGCACAGCAUUUCAUUAGCCAAUCUGCCCCAGACAUUAGAGAUAAGCUCCAAAAGCUACAGAUGGGGCCACAAACUAAUCAAAAUCAGCUUACUUAUAUCACAUUUAUGGUGUAUAACAAUCGUGACCUGAAGGAAGGAAAAAGGGAACAGAGUAAACAAAAUGGCAAGCCAAAAGUAUGGCAGCCAUCAUUGACGAUGCCCUGAAUGUACAAAGAGUGUCUAAGGGAAACCCGAAGGGCCAUAAAGAUAAUGCCAGCAAAGGCUCUUGCUUCAAAUGCAAGAAAAGAAGACAUUGGGCAAAGGAUUGUGCUAAGUCCCCGCCAGGCCCCUGCCGUCAAUGCAAGGGCACCAGUCAUGACCCCUGGCACUGGAGAAUUGACUGCCCAUGUUCCCACUGAGGGGCUCAGUCAGUCAAAACUCUAGCAGUGCAAAAGGAGGAAUUAGAUGAAGACUGAAGGGGCCUGAGGUCUUCCUCACUGCCCCUGUUCAGGAACAUUGUAAUUACUACUGAGGAGCCCCAGGUAACUCUGGACGUCAUGGGCACCCAAAUUCAGUUUCUUUUUGAUGCAGGAGCAAAUUACUCUGUUCUUACUGCUUAUGCAGUAAGGCGUUCCUCCCAGUCCACAAGUGUUAUGGGAAUAGAAUGGAAGCCACAAACGAGUUUUUAUUUUAUUUUAUUUUAUUUUAUUUUACUUUAAGUUCUGGGAUACAUAUGCAGAAUGUGCAGGUUUGUUACAUAGGUAUACAUGUGCCAUGGUGGUUUGCUGCACCUAUCGACCCAUCAUCUAGGUUUUAAGUCCCACAUGGAUUAGGUAUUUGUCCUAAUGCUCUUCCUCCCCUUGCCCCCAACCCCCCAACAGGCCUUGGUGUGUGAUGUUCCCCUCCCUGUGUCCAUGUGUUCUCAUUGUUCACCUCCCACUUAUUAGUGAGAACAUGCGGUGUUUGGUUUUCUGUUCCUGUGUUAGUUUGCUGAGAAUGAUGGUUUCCAGCUUCAUCCAUGUUCCUGCAAAGGACAUGAACUCAUUCUUUUUUAUGGUUGCGUAGUAUUCCAUGGUGUAUAUGUGCCAUAUUUUCUUUAUCCCGUCUAUCACUGAUGGGCAUUUGGGUUGGUUCCAAGUCUUUGCCAUGGUAAAUAGUGUUGCAGUAAACAUACAUGUGCAUGUAUCUUUAUAAUAGAAUGAUUUAUAAUCCUUUGGGUAUAUAUCCAGUAAUGGGAUUGCUGGGUCAAAUGGUAUUUCUGGUUCUAGAUCCCUGAGGAAUCACCACACUGUCUUCCACAAUGGUUGAACUAAUUUACACUCCCACCAACAGUGUAAAAAUGUUCCUACUUCUCCACAGCCUCACCAGCCUGUUUCCUGACUUUUUAAUGAUCACCAUUCUAACUGGUGUGAGAUGGUAUCUCACUGUGAUUUUGAUUUGCAUUUCUCUAACAACAAGUGAUGAGCAUUUUUUCAUAUGUUUGUUGGCUGCAUAAAUGUCUUCUUUUGAGAAGUGUCUGUUCAUAUCCUUUGCCUACUUUUUGAUGGGGUUGACAAACAAGAUUCAUUACUCCUCCUUUGAUUUGUCAAUUUGAGAAACAACUCUUCCAACAGGAUUUCCUAGUAGUACCAAGCUGCCCAAUCCCCCUGUUGGGAAGAGAUAUUAUGGUUAAAAUGGAGGCACUACUACAAUUUAAGCAUCACCCAUUGAAAUUGCUGAUAGUCAAAAAUACAGUGUUCCAGACCACAUUAAUAAAUAGGUUAACCCGCUGGCAUUGGUAUACUGGAAAACCAGGGAAGGCUAAAACAGCAGUGCCAGUCAAAAUACAUUUUAAAGACCUCAGCUAGUUUCCCAAUUGAAAAUAAUAUCCAAUUAAGCAGGAAGCAAGAAAAGGCCUAGCACCCAUAAUUGAGGUAUUACUUAUUACAUGGGCUCUUAAAAUCCUGUAAUUCCCCUUGCAAUACCUGUUCUAAAGCCUUUGGGGGAAUACCAGUUAGUAUAGGACUGGAGAAUACCGGUUAGUAUAGGACCUGAGAAUAAUUAAUGAGGCUGUUAUCCCCGUCCACCCACUGGUGGCAGAUCCAUAUACCCUUAUGGCUCAGGUACAAGGGGAUGCAAAAUGGUUCUCAGUCCUGGACCUAAAAGAUGCUUUCUUCUCCAUCCCUCUGGCCCCAGAGUCCCAAUACCUUUUUGCCUUUGAAUGGGAAAAUCAAUAUGAGGGAAAAACAGUAAUAUACCUGGACAGUGCACCCUUAGGGCAUUCAGGAUAGCCCCCAUUGGAUUGCCCGAGCCUUAGAGAGGGAUCUGAAGGAUCUGAAAGUGAAAAAUGGGAAUAUACUCCAGUAUGUGGAUGACUUUCUUGUGUGUAGCCCAAACCCAGGAGGUUUCUGACCAAACUACUAUAAAAACUUUGAAUUUCCUGGCAGACAGGGGAUACAAAGUGUCCGACAAGAAGGCACAGAUUAUCCUCCAAUGGGUGCAAUAUUUAGGGUAUGUCUUAACACCCAGAGCCUGACAAAUAUCCCCAGAACGAGAGCAAGCCAUAGGUGGUUUGCCCCCUGCCCCCUCCCCAACCCCCCCACCUGCCACACCUAGUAGCAGCUUUGUUCUUUUUUGGGAAUGGCCAGGUUUUGCAGAAUAUGGGUACCAAAUUUCAGACUCAUAGCAAAGCCCCUAUAUGAAGCAACAAAGGGGCCUGAAGACGAGCUAAAGGAAUGAACCCCAGAAUUGAGAAAAGCCUUUGCCAAGUUAAAACAGGCUCUCGCUCUUGGCAUCCCAGACCUACCUAAGCCCUUCUCUUUGUACGUAGCAGAGAAGAAGGGCAUAGCUGUGGGUGUACUAGCCCAGACAUUAGGAUCAGAACCCAGACUAACCACUGACUUUCCAAAGAAGUUGGAUGGAGUGGCCUCGAGGUGACCAAGUUGCCUGCGGCCAACAGCAGCCACUGCUAUGUUAGUGGAGGAAGCCACUGAAAUCGCUCUGAGCCAACCACUGGAAGUUCUCACCCCCUCAUCAGGUUAAGUCUGUCUUAGAGAUAAAGGGACACAUCUGGAUGACAGGGGAAAGAUGAACCAAAUACCAGGCCAUGUUCCUAGACAAUCCAGAUGUAACCCUUAAAACCUGCAACACUUUGAAUCCAGCUUCAGUGCUGCCCACAGGCCCAAUAACUGAUCAUUCCUGCAAGCAGGUCAUUGCACAUACACAAUGUUAGCCAGCCUGCUUUAAAAGACAAGCCUCUCCCAGAUUCUGAGGAUGAGUGGUUCACAGAUGGCAGUAGUUUUGUGUCAAAUGGGGUUUGACACAGCACUGAGCUGGAUAUGCAGUAGUAAUUAUCGAAGCCCAGCCACUGCUCCUUGGCACAUCAGCACAAAAGGCUGAAAUCAUUGCUCUUACUUGAGCAUUAAUGUUGGUACAAGGAAAAAAGCUUAACAUCUAUAUCGAUUCUAAAUAUGCAUUCCUUGUGGUUCAUGUUCAUGCUACAGUCUGGAAAGAAAAGGGAUUUCUAACUAGAAAACAGUCCUCUAUAAAGCCUGGGCCUGAAAUUCUUCAGCUAUUGGAAGCAAUACACUUGCCAAAGGCCGUAGCUCUAAUUAAUUGUUGGGGUAUCAAAGGGACUUAACCCCUAUAGCACAAGGGAACAGAAAGGCUGAUAAAGAACCAAAGCCGCAUCCCUCAGGGUGCCAUCCCAACAGACCCUAGCCCUACUUCCUUUCUAUGAUUUCCCAACAGAACCUGAGUACACAGUACAGAAAGAACAGUUAAUAGAGGAACAAGGGGGACACAAAAAAAGGAUCCUGGUGGCAUAUGGGGUCAAAAACAUAUCUCCCUCAGACAGCCCAGUGGAAAGUUAUAAAAGCCGUGCAUGCCUCUUUCCAUGUGGGGAGGGAUGCAACUCUGGCCAUUUAAACCAGCUCUUUACUGGGUCUAACUUAGCUUCAGUGGCUAAGCAGGUUUGCUAGGCCUGCUCCCUGUGUGCACUUAACAACCUAGGAAACAACAUGCCUCCUCUAAUAGAACCAGUGCAGAGGAGAGGAACUUAUCCAGGGGGAGACUGGCAAUUAGACUUCACCCAUAUGCCAGCUUGCAGAGGACAUGAGUUUUUGUUAGUACUAAUAGAUAUCUUUACUGGUUGGGUCGAAGUUUAUCCUACCAGAACAGAGAAGGUUAAUGAGGCUAUAAAGGUUCUCUUAAAAGAAAUAAUCCCCGGGUUUGGGUUACCUCAGAGCCUCCAAAUUGAUAAUGGCCCGUCCUUUAUCUCCCAGCUAACUCAAGGGGUUGCUAAGUCUCCUGGAAUCAAGUACUAUCUACAUUCAGCAUGAAGGCCUCGAUCCUUGGGGAAAGUAGAAAGGGCUAACCAAACUUUAAAACGAGUGUUAGCUAAGCUAUGUAAGGAAACAUCAGAAACUUGGGUCAGCUUACUGCCCAUAGCCCUCUUAAGGACCCAUAAUACCCCUACAGCAAAAAUUAAUAUAAACCCAUAUGAAAUAUUAUGUGGAAGGCCAUUCUUAACUAAUGAUUUAAUUACUGAUCCAGAAACAGUUGGUUUAGUAAAAUACCUAGUCAAUCUAGGACAGUUUCAACAGGCUUUACAAACGUUUGGAAUGCAAAGUCUCCCCACACUGGGAACAAUCAGCAACUUAAAAUCAGGUCAGGAAAUAAGGUACUUCUUAAAACAUGGAAAGAGGGAUCACCUGCUCAACAAUUACAACCCAAACGGAAGGGACUGUUUUCAGUGGCACUGGCCAUGCCUUCUGCAGUGAAAGUACUAGGAUUAGAUAGCUGGAUACAUCUUUCAAGGAUCAAGAGAGUGAUACCAGAAGCCCUGGACCAGGAACCCGAAGUUGCCAUCUGCCUCUACACCUGUGAACCUGUGGAAGACUUCAUGAAGUACCUGUUUAGAAGACAGUCAAAAGAAAAGUAAAUGCCUACCAAUUUUCCUUGGUGUCUUUGUUGCAUAGUUACUAUAGGCUGGAUAAUAGUGCCAUUUUUAAAAAUGUUUUAUUUUUGCAGUUUCAUUGCCUUCUUCCAAAUGGAUGGAAUCACUUCCUUUGUAGUAAUUAAGCAGAAUGUUUUAAUACAUUUCUAUAACAAACAUUCCUGACGGCAUAGGUAUCCACCCCCAAAGUUCCCAUUAAAUCUUUUAACCAAAUUCAUUUCCUGUUGCACAGAGACCAUCAAGCUUCAGAUGAUCAUGUGACAGGGUUUCCAGCCAGUUCCAGGUGAAGACACCACCCCUGGCCAUCAAGAAGUCACCCGGUCUCCACUAGACAGAGUAGGGUGAGAGUUCCGUGAUCUCCAACCGGUAGUGAUUAUGCCCCAAGUCAGCAUAAAGAAGUUACGGAAGAAAAACCAUCAGUCCCUCUGUCUCACAUAAAGACUUAUGGGGAUCACGUUUCUCAGAGGGGAGAUGAGGCAGGAGAAUAGGGUCUGGAGGCAGGGAACCUAAGGCCGUUUCACACUGACUUCUUAGAACUAAAUUGAAAGGAAAACCCUAAUUUUCCAUGCCUAAGUAACAAAAGGACCAGAGGCUACUCCCUUUGCAAACCCCCACCUUUUCUGUGUGGCAUAUGGGAAAUUGAAAGUACCUCUGAUUGAUUGUUUUCUGCAACCAAUCAGAUGUUUGCAUUGGAGUGUAACUUUGUAAUUUCACUUCAGUCUCUGAUUGGUUGCUGCAGUCUGGAAAUUCUGCAGGCCAAGUCUUCGUUUGCAUAGAAGUGCAACUUUGUAACUUCAUCUUAGCCUCUGAUUGGUUGCUUUCUGCAACCAAUCAGAUGUUUGCAUAGGCGUGUGACCUUUGUAACUUCACUUCAGCUUCUGAUUGGUUGCUUUCCACAACCAAUCAGACUGAUUGUGGGCCACCACUUCCUUUACGUGAGGUGAACACCAAGUGGCCAAUGGAAAACCUCAAGAGGGUAUUUGGACCUGAGAAGAUUCUGUAUCUGGGGCCCUUGAGCUGCUGCUCUGCCCACUCUCACAUGGUGGAGUGUAAUUUCACUUUGAAUAAAUCUCUGCUUUUGUUGCUUCAUUCUUUCCUUGCUUUGCUGUGUAUUUUGUCCAAUUCUUUGUUCAAAACGCCAAGAACCUGGACAACUUGCAGUCAAGACCCUCUACCAGUAACACUAGUUGUAUCCCUGUAAAUGAAUGGGCUUUGAAGAUUUUCUAGAAGAAAAAGAUCACCUCAUUGUCCUUCAUUUUUUGACAUAAAACUGUGAUAGCCCAAUAGAUAAAAUGUGAGUUAUCGAUCACCCCUGGAAAGGAUUAGGAUAUGCCACUCCAAAAUAUGCCACGUUUAUUUUGCACUGAAGGCAAUUGAGAAACAGUAGACACAGGAAGAGCUCUCUGCUUUUCCCCUUUUUACCUAAAAGCAGAGAAUAAAUUUCCUUUUGGAAAGAUGACAUACAUUUUCCUUUAUAAAGGUGUUCCCUUCUCCUCUACCAGGAAGAUCUGAGAUGGCACCAAAAUGAAUCUGCCUAACAAACCUUACUGCACAAUUCUUAGCUACCAUACAUUUCAUAGUCACCUUCCCAUAAUUUACUGCCCUUAGGAGCCCAAGUCCCUUUCCUUUGACUAUCACCUCUCCACAAUUUAUUGCCCUUUGUUAAAAUGAUAUAUAAGCUCCUUCAUUUAACUACAUCUUUGGGUUUUCACUUCUUAUCUUUGAUGCUACGAUGCAUGUAAAAAUAUUAAUAAAAUUUGUGUGCUUUUUCUCCUGUUAAUUGUAUGUCUUUUAUCAACUUAAAUUACAGGCCCCAAGUACAUAAUUAAGAGAGUAAAAGGCUGGGCACGGUGGCUGAUGCCUGUAGUCCCAGCACUUUGGGAGGCCAAGGCAGGCAGAUCACAAGGUCAGG